UACGAAGGGGGCUAGCGUUGCUCGGAAUCACUGGGCGUAAAGCGCACGUAGGCGGAUUGUUAAGUCGGGGGUGAAAUCCUGGAGCUCAACUCCAGAACUGCCUUUGAUACUGGAGAGCUUGAGUCCGGAAGAGGUGAGUGGAACUCCGAGUGUAGAGGUGAAAUUCGUAGAUAUUCGGAAGAACACCAGUGGCGAAGGCGGCUCACUGGUCCGGUACUGACGCUGAUGUGCGAAAGCGUGGGGAGCAAACAGG
rnacentral:rRNA from 1 species